rnacentral:rRNA from 1 species
CGGCACGGGUGAGUAACACGUAUCCAACCUGCCGUCUACUCUUGGACAGCCUUCUGAAAGGAAGAUUAAUACAAGAUGGCAUCAUGAGUCCACAUGUUCACAUGAUUAAAGGUAUUCCGGUAGACGAUGGGGAUGCGUUCCAUUAGAUAGUAGGCGGGGUAACGGCCCACCUAGUCUUCGAUGGAUAGGGGUUCUGAGGGGAAGGUCCCCCACAUUGGAACUGAGACACGGUCCAA